rnacentral:rRNA from 1 species
UACGUAGGGGGCGAGCGUUGUCCGGAUUUAUUGGGCGUAAAGAGCGUGUAGGCGGCCAGGUAGGUCUGCUGUGAAAACUCGAGGCUCAACCUCGAGACGUCGGCGGAAACCAUCUGGCUAGAGUCCGGAAGAGGAGAGUGGAAUUCCUGGUGUAGCGGUGAAAUGCGCAGAUAUCAGGAAGAACACCCGUGGCGAAGGCGGCUCUCUGGUCCGGUACUGACGCUGAGGUGCGAAAGCGUGGGGAGCAAACAGG